rnacentral:snoRNA from 1 species
AGCCUCUGGAUUCCUUACCCAUCACAUCUAGACACUGGUUUGAGGAGGAAAAGUGAAACCAAAACGGACUUAAGUGCUUUGUGACACACAAGCUAGUUUCAAACAAAC